AGGCAGGUGUGGAGCUGGUCU
rnacentral:miRNA from 1 species